GAUGAACGCUGGCGGCGUGCUUAACACAUGCAAGUCGAGCGGAAAGACCCGGCUCUUGUGUCGUGCUCGAUUGCCGAACGGGGGUGUGACACGUGAGUAUACUGCCCUUGUCAUUCGGAUAACUUCACGGAACUCGGGCUCAUACCCGGUAUGAGCUCCUGCUGCGUGGGGUUCGUUGGUGAAAUACGGCGUUUGGGGAACGACUCGCGGCGUACCAGCUAGUUGGUCUGGUAGGUGCUGACCAAGGCUACGAUGGGUAGACGGCCUGAGAGGGUGACCGGCCACACUGGAAGUGAGACGCGGUCCAGGCUCCUACGGGAGGCAGCAGUAGGGAAUCUUCCGCAAUGGGCGGAAGCCUGACGGAGCAACGCCGCGUGAGUGAUGAAGGUCUUCGGAUCGUAAAACUCUGUUAUUAGGGAAGAACAUAUGUGUAAGUAACUGUGCACAUCUUGACGGUACCUAAUCAGAAAGCCACGGCUAACUACGUG
rnacentral:rRNA from 1 species